AGUUAUCGUUUAGAGAUGGACUUGCGCCUCAUUAGCUAGUUGGUAGGGUAAUGGCCUACCAAGGCUUUGAUGGGUAGCCGGCCUGAGAGGGUGUACGGCCACAUUGGGACUGAGAUACGGCCCAGACUCCUACGGGAGGCAGCAGUAGGGAAUUUUGCGCAAUGGACGAAAGUCUGACGCAGCAACGCCGCGUGAGUGAUGAAGGUCUUCGGAUUGUAAAGCUCUGUUGAGUGGGAAGAAAAGUUUCGGGAAUAACACCUCGAGACCUGACGGUACCACUUGAGGAAGCCCCGGCUAACUACGUGCCAGCAGCCGCGGUAAUACGUAGGGGGCAAGCGUUGUUCGGAAUCACUGGGCGUAAAGGGAGCGUAGGCGGAGGAAUAAGUUAGAAGUUUAAUGUACGGGCUUAACCCGUAAUCUGCUUCUAAUACUGUUCUUCUUGAGUAUGGGAGAGGGAGAUGGAAUUCCAGGUGUAGCGGUGGAAUGCGUAGAUAUCUGGAAGAACACCAGCUGCGAAGGCGGUCUCCUGGCCCAAUACUGACGCUGAGGCUCGAAAGCUAGGGGAGCAAACAGGAUUAGAUACCCUGGUAGUCCUAGCCGUAAACGAUGGACACUAGAUGCUGGAGGAGUCAAUCCUUUCGGUGUCGUAGCUAACGCGUUAAGUGUCCCGCCUGGGGAGUACGCUCGCAAGGGUGAAACUCAAAGGAAUUGACGGGGGCCCGCACAAGCGGUGGANNUGUUGGGUUAAGUCCCGCAACGAGCGCAACCCCCGUCCUUAGUUGCCAUCAGGUCAAGCUGGGAACUCUAGGGAUACUGCCUGGUUUAACCAGGAGGAAGGUGGGGAUGACGUCAAGUCAUCAUGGCUCUUACGUCCAGGGCCAGACACGUGCUACAAUGGUCGGUACAGAGGGUCGCAAAACCGCAAGGUCAAGCUAAUCCCACAAAACCGAUCUCAGUUAGGAUUGGAGUCUGCAAUUCGACUCCAUGAAUUUGGAAUCGCUAGUAAUCGCGGAUCAGAACGCCGCGGUGAAUACGUUCCCGGGCCUUGUACACACCGCCCGUCAAGCCAUGAAAGAUGGGAGUACCCAAAGUCGUUCAUCCAACCGCAAGGGGGAGGACGCCUAAGGUAAGACCAUUGAUUGGGGCUAAGUCGUAACAAGGUA
rnacentral:rRNA from 1 species